UACGGGGGGGGCAAGCGUUGUUCGGAAUUACUGGGCGUAAAGGGCUCGUAGGCGGCCAACUAAGUCAGACGUGAAAUCCCCAGGCUUAACCUGGGAACUGCGUCUGAUACUGGAUGGCUUGAAUUCGGGAGAGGGAUGCAGAAUUCCAGGUGUAGCGGUGAAAUGCGUAGAUAUCUGAAGGAACAUCAGUGGCGAAAGCGACUUCCUGGACCAAUACUGACGCUCAUGUGCGAAAGCGUGGGGAGCAAACAGG
rnacentral:rRNA from 1 species